AAGGGUGGCUAUUUUGAAGAAUCUAAAAUAUAAAACAUGUUUUGACUUAUUUUACACCUUUUUAUUUACUACAUAAUUACAUUUGUGCGCAUUCAAAGUUUUGAUGCCUUCAGUGAGAAUCUGAAAUGUAAAUAGUCAUGAAAAUAAAGACAAAUCAUUAAAUGAGAAGUUGUGUCCAAACCUUUGACUGGUACUGUGUAUUCUCAUAUUUCUUGUGUUAAAUUGCUAUGAAGCUAAACUAAUGUCAGUUAAGUACAGUAAGAUAAAUAGUCAUGAAUAAGUAGUGUUUAAGUUUCUAAAAUAAAUUACUUAAGGAAUUAUUAAAAACUCUACUCAUUCUAAAAUGAUUUAAUAAUUUUAGUCUCAGAUCUAAAUGAUGGAAAUAGUGUUUUAAGGAGUCACUAGAUUUUUUUUUUAAGGUGUCUGCCAUUUGGCCUUUUUUUCUGACCAAAAUCGUGAUUUGCCACAGUUUUUCUGUCAUGAUGCUACUGUUCAUGGCAGCACGUGUUCUCUCAGUUGCAUGCUGCCGAAUUUAACCUAAAAGAAUACUAAUUUAACUUCAUUAAUAUGAGUGAGGUGGGGGUGGGGGACAAUAUAAAUCUACAUGCUGCUCUAAAUAAACACAGUGCACAGACGUAAACCUGUGCUCAAGUUACACAAAACUAAUGUAACUUGCUCAUCAAGGCUGCCAGUAACUAGGAGGAGCUGGGAACUUGGGCUAAACUAAAAGUUGUUUUUUUUGUUGUUGUUGUUGUCACUGAGUGAAAUGGCCCAGACGAGCUGGUCAAAUUCUCUGAAUGCUGAAUAAAGCUUCACUGUUUUGUGUCUUAUCUCCUUUAGCAGAGGAUACACUGGACCAUCCUCACAAAAGAAAAGGAAAUUCUCUCCCACAAUUCCUUUCAGCAGCAACAUUCAUAGGAACAUACCAUCCCAUCCAUGGCAUAUAGCAAGCUGUUUUAACAUUUGAGUUCCGUGGACCGCACUGCCCCAAUCCUGCAACCUCAGUAACUCAUCUGCAUUCCUGUACUCACCUCUGGACCCUCCUGCCUGCUCGGUUCUGCCCGGCUGCUUGCCGGACCCUCGGACCGUUCUGCAUGCUUGGUUCUGUCCAGCCACUUGCCGGGCCCUCAGACCCUCCUGCCUGCUUGGUUCUGCCCGGCUACUUGCUGGACCUUCAGACCCCCGUCCCUUCCCCACCAGUGAGCUUAGUUUAAUUCCCUUCUUGGUUUUUCCUUUAGUUCUGGUUUACUGUUUAUUUAAUAGUGUUUAGUUAAAUCCUUAAUUGAUACUCUUUCCACUCAUCAUAGUUUGGUCUAGUUUUGUUGUCCAUUUGUUAAAUAAAUCCUUCUUGAAUCCUGA